AAGAGCUGUAACUUUCAAAAUCUAGGAAGUUGUUCUUACAACCAGGUGAGACUGUAUUCAUUUUGUCUUUUGUUCUUUAUUAUGUGAACUGAUAACUGCAGCAAAUUUCCUUCUCAAGUUUUUAAGAUUGAUUUUGAUUGUUAUUCAUGGAGCAGACUUGGUUUUGGCCUAGUUUAAAAGCCAGGAAAUAAAUCAGGUUUGUCUGUCUUUUCUUUCUCAGUUUGCGCAUGGAACAGUUUGUAAGCUAUGGAUAUUUAGUUAAUACACUGGAAAGCCAUGAAAUUUAAAGACAUAAAAUUUCUUCCACUUGAUGUACAAGUAGCUUACAGUAUUUUCAGCAUUCCAGUCUUAUGAUCAAGUGGAAUCCAGAUCAGGUUUAAUUUAACUUUGUUAAAAGAGCAAUGUCAACUAUUUCAGAUAUCUUACAUGGAGUUCAGCAGCAUAUUCAUUCAUACAUUUCAAACUGAUACUGAAUAAACAUAUACUGAAACUAUAAUAUCAAUAGUGGAGAAAAUCCACAUUUCUCUGAUAAACUUUGUAUAACUUUUACAUCUUUCUGUUUGGCAAGGAUGUGUAUUUGAUGGAACAUCUCAAUGAAUCAUUGCUGGAUUUCCUGGAAUCUGGCUUGCUUAUUAUCCUGAACAAUUCUUCUUCAAAUAAUGACACAGAACCUGAAUUACAAGCUCACAUCACAGCUCCGAUAAUGAGUAAACUUGAAAGCACUUGUCCUCAGCCUCCUCCAUGUUAUUUUGUAAAGCAAGAGUAUCAGAAUAUCUUGGAAGGCAUGGAAGUUAAAGCUAUGUUAGAGUUUACAACCUCGUUUUCACAGAUUCUAAAUCAGGAAGAAAAGAGUAAUUCAGCAACCUUUUUCAUGUAUCUUAUAUUGUCAGCAGCUUUUUAAAAAAAUAGUAGUAGUGAAUUGUAUAGGUGAUUAGAAGAAAACAGAACAGGUACAGAAAUUUGGUGUCAAGUUUGUUUCCAAAUUCACUAAAUAUAAUGCAAGUCAAACUUUGUUCUUAAUUGCACUGCUAUCUGUCUGGAGCAACUACAUUAUCUUCAGUGGAGCUAAUACAGAAACUGUGUACAAUUUGACUCUAUAAAAAUUGACUUCAAUACAAAGGACCUGAGAAGUCCUCAGUGGAUAUCUAUGAAAAUUAUUUAUUUACAUACCAAUUGCUUUGAUUUCAUACAUUUGCAUUUUCCCCACAAUUUUUUUAACUGUAUACCAGACAGAUAGUAUGAAAUCUGGAGCUUAGUAUUCAUGGUCAUAGCUCCAUUAAAGUCAUAAAAGCUGUGAUGUUAUGCACCCCCCAAAGAUCUGCUUACUGAUUCUCCUCCAAAAAAAGUCCAGGAAAGGAAACGUCAUAAAAAUAUCAUGGCUGCAUAUUCCUAUUUUAUCCCCCUCAGUGGCUUCCUGAAGCUUAAAAGAACUGCCAAAAAACACAUGGGCUUCUAUACGUAGAGAAAAUCAGCUCUAUGUAAAUAUCAUCCUACUGGUCUUGGAAUUUGUAUGAGCUUUUGAAUAAUCUGAAUUCCAGCCCCUAAAAUGCUGUGAUAGGCUAAGCUAAUACUAAUAGGAAUUAUUCAAGCAAAGCCUCCCUUGAAAUAAGACAUAGGCUUUGUCUUGCAGGAUUGCUGUUGAAAUCAGCCACAUUCUGAAUCAUUAUCACUGGAAAAAAUGUGCAGAACUGCCAUUCACAAGUACUUAGGCUGGAGGAAUGGGCCAACAGGAACCUUAUGAAAUUCAACAAGGACAAAUGCACAGUGCUGUAGCUGGGAAGGAAAAACUCCUUCCAACAAUACAGGCUGGGGACUGCCUGCCUGGGGAGCAGCUCUGCUGAAAAGGCCCUGGGGUCCUGGUAGACAGAGGCUGGGCACGAGGCGGCCACAUGCCCUGGCAGCAAAGGUCUACAGCAUCCUGGGAUGUAUUAACAGGAGCACAGCCAGUAGAUCAAGGGGAGUGAUUACCCCCCCAUUCGACACUCAGACCAUAAUACUGCAUUUUGGGGCAGUUUUGGGGCUCCCCAGUGCAAGAAAGAUACCAAUAAACUGAAGCAAGUUCAACA
ensembl:lncRNA